GCCCAAGUUGCGACAGCUCAUUCAGUAGAGCGUGAGACUCUCAGGAUUUCUCAUGGUUGUGGGUUCGAGCUCCAUGUUGGGCA